rnacentral:rRNA from 1 species
GCCCUCUAGAUGCAUGCUCGAGCGGCCGCCAGUGUGAUGGAUAUCUGCAGAAUUCGCCCUUAGAGUUUGAUCCUGGCUCAGAGUGAACGCUCGUGAUAUGCCUUACACGUGCGAGUUUUAAUUGAUAUAUACAUAUAUUAAUAGCGUACGGGUGAGUAAUACAUAAGAAUAUACUUUAUAUUAUAGAAAUUAAAAUCUAUUAAAAAAAACAGAAAAAAUAUAUAAAAUUUUUAUUAUUUUAUGUUUUUUAAAAAUUAAAAUUGAUAUAAAAUUAGCUUGUGUAGAAUUAGAUAGUUGGUAAGGUAAUGGCUUACCAAGUCUAUGAUUCUUAAUUGGUCUUAGCGGACGAUCAAUCACAUUGGGACUGAAACAUGGCCCAAACUCUUUUUUGAGGCAGCAGUGGGGAAUAUUGGACAAUGAACGAAAGUUUGAUCCGGCAAUAUCAUGUGAGUGAUGAAGGUUUAUUUUAUUGUAAAGCUCUUUCGUUGAGGAGGAUAAUGACGUUACUCAAAGAAGAAGUCCCGACUAACCUCGUGCCAGCAGUCGCGGUAAUACGGGGGGGGCAAGCGUUACUCUUCGUUACUGGGUGUAAAGCGUAGUAAGGUGGUUUAAUAAGUUUUUAGUGAAAUC